UGGAGAGAUGACUUCCCUAGCCCCUGGGCAAAAAUAAUACAUGGGAAACUUGUGUCCCUAGGACUAUCUCCAUCUGAACUAUUAAAAUUGGAUUUAAUUUCUGCCAAGAGAAUUAUAACUCACAAAUUAGAGGAGAUGGAUUUACAAUUUAAUAUUGCGACAGGUGGUGGCACCUGUUCGCCGAUAAACCUUGGCUUAACACCACCAACGAAACUUCCAUCUUAUUUAACUACCUUAUCUGUGGUGACGCACAGGUAUGCCUUUAUAAAGGCUAGAUUCAAUGUUUUCCCAUCAAACGUGUUGGGUAACAGACUCUCCAACGGACAGAUCUCACUCCUCUGUGACUGUAAAAGUGGAUCUAUAGAAUCGUUAUAUCAUAUAAUCUUCUGUUGUCCAUUACAUUCGGCUUCACGGUCCAAGUUUCUGGCCCCAUACUUAUCGAGAAUUGCUGACGGACCUCAGGAAGCCCAAAUAAUAUACUUAUUAAACGACGAAGAUACAAGUAGAUCCCUUGCAGUCGCUAGAUACCUGAUUAAUGUUUUAUUUCAAAAGAGGAGAAAUGGAUCACUGUAUGACUCUGACAGCUUAGCUAAACUUAAGAACCAUCAAUAAGUGCCAGAACUAAGACGCAUACCCCCCAAAAUCUGAUGAAUUUGAAUUGCGGUAAAGGUAAAGGUAAAGGUAGCCCUGCCCGUACGGGCCAGUCUUGACAGACUCUGGGGUUGUGCGCCCAUCUCACUCAAGAGGCCGGGGGCCAGCGCUGUCCGCAGACACUUCCGGGUCACGUGGCCAGCGUGACAAGCUGCAUCUGGCGAGCCAGCACAGCACACGGAACGCCGUUUACCUUCCCGCUGGUAAGCGGUCCCUAUUUAUCUACUUGCACCCGGGGGUGCUUUCGAACUGCUAGGUUGGCAGGCGCUGGGACCGAGCAACGGGAGCGCACCCCGCCGCGGGGAUUCGAACCGCCGACCUUUCGAUCGGCAAGCCCUAGGCGCUGAGGCUUUUACCCACAGCGCCACCCGCGUCCCU